rnacentral:rRNA from 1 species
UGGUGGGCUAUGUGCGGUGGUUGCCGGGGUUGCGCUCGUGGUGGCAGAGGCGGCGGUGCGGGCUUGGCGGCAGCGGAGGCCCAAAUCGAUCUGGAUCUGGGGGCUCUCCUCUGGCUGGUGGCGCGGGGGCUGGCCACGACCGGGCGUGGACUGCGGUGGCGCACGGCCAGCUGCUGCAGGCGGCUGCUUCCGGUGCUGCGGUGGUCCUCAGUGGAUUUGGGCUGCCACGACGUGGUGGGAGCCCAUGGUGGUGGCAUGGGUCGGCUCAUGGCGGCGGUGUUGCGUCGGCGUGGUUCAGCUCAUGGUGGUGUACAGGUCGUGGCGCAGCGGCGGCUGGGCUCUCCGGCGUCGGCUCGUUUGCGUGCGGCCCUUGGGGAUGUUGUUGGUCUCUCUCGUGGAUGCAGGUUGUGGCCGGUCCGGCUCCUCGCGCCGUUGAGCGGGUGGCCGGUUUGGGCCAGGUGCUGAUCCUGGCUGGGAGUCCGAGUUGGUCUUCAGGGGUGACGUUUGGAGAGGUGGUGGGAGAGAUGGGUGGCACCAAUGCGGUCGGGCCACCCGUCACCGGCAGGGGUGCCGGAUGUUGACGUAGUCCGCUCCCGCCUCGCCUCUUCUCCGACCUGGUCACUCCCUGAUCGAUUUGGCCAUUCAUGUCGUUGGCGGCUCUAUCGGUGGUCGGUGCUUGCUGGUCGGCUCAUCGCCUACAGCCAUGGAGGACCUUUCAAGCGUCUUGUUUCUUGGGCGGCGGCCCAGGUGGUUGGAGCCGUGGUGCUCGUGGGCUGAGGCCGCGACUCAGGUGUGGGCGGCUAGCCGCCAUGGCCGCGUGGGCGGUGUGGUGGUAGGCGUUUCUUCGUCCUAACAAAGGCGGAGUAUGCUUAUCGGGGUGAAAACGCUGUCUGGUUUAGGCCAGACCAACGGAGGCGGCGUCUGUGGGCGUUGUCAUCUUCCUGAAGUCUUUGUUGUGGUUGCUCCCUCCCUUCGUCGUGCUCCGGAUGAAACUCUGAUCUCUGGAUCGGGUGGUGGCGGCGCUACGGUGUCGUGCCCUUCCUGAAGGCACCGUCUUGGUGUGCACGGUGUCGACGAUUCUCAACUUCACCUCUUCGUGAUCUCAUUGGAAGGGCGCCGGCGGCUUCGUAGUGAUGCUUACUGUCUUCUCUUGUUGUCUACGUCGAGUUUGUCGGUGUGGUGUUGUUGUAGCCCUUUGGCACCUAUGUAUCUGGCCCUGGUAGAGUGUGGUUCUCGUGUUGUGUGUUGUGGUUUGUAUCAGAUCCGUUUGUUGGUGGUUGGUGCUUUAUAUAUAAAGCGGGGCGAAAUCCUUUUUGGUAGUUACUUAGACCUUUAGACGUCAGCAUUGCUACAUUAUAUAUGUGGCGGGUCUAUCUUCUAUUCACUGAGCCACCGAGGUGCAAAUUUCCCUACACGAUUGCUGCAUAAUACGAGCUCUAGGACGACACCAACUGUUGUCCUACAUUUCUUAUGCAUGUUUGUUUGGC